rnacentral:rRNA from 1 species
GAUGAACGCUGGCGGUAUGCUUAACACAUGCAAGCCGAACGGACUCUUCGGAGUUAGUGGCGGACGGGUGAGUAACGCGUGAGAAUCUGGCUUUGGGUUCGGGACAACCACUGGAAACGGUGGCUAAUACCGGAUGUGCCGAGAGGUAAAAGAGAAAUUGCCUGAAGAUGAGCUCGCGUCUGAUUAGCUAGUUGGUGAGGUAAAGGCUCACCAAGGCAGCGAUCAGUAGCUGGUCUGAGAGGAUGACCAGCCACACUGGGACUGAGACACGGCCCAGACUCCUACGGGAGGCAGCAGUGGGGAAUUUUCCGAAAUGGGCGAAAGCCUGACGGAGCAAUACCGCGUGAGGGAAGAAGGAUCUUGGGGUGUAAACCUCUUUUCUUAGGGAAGAACAAAAUGACGGUACCUAAGGAAUCAGCAUCGGCUAACUCCGUG